rnacentral:lncRNA from 1 species
CUUCUUCUUCACACAUGAAGAAAAAUACUGCCUCAACCCUGUUAUUCUUUAGCUCCCUUGAUGUGUGCCAUACUAAAAUACAAGAUGUGUAGCAGCCUCAAGGUCCUUUGAAUUCAUAUCCUUAACUUCAUAAGAAGUCAUAGGUGAGUGAGAUAUAACUGGUACUAGUUUAAACAGGUGCAUAAGAUUGGCAUUGCUAGAUAAGAUUUAGAAAGUGAGGGGAAUAUAAGAAGUCAUGCUUCAUAGAAGAUCCUUACAAGUCCCAACUGAGAGCUACUCUAAACAAUGACUGUCCUUGAACAAGGCUUCUAACCUAGUUUAAAGUUGGUUUUUCCUCUUAAGUCGACUGUGCCUCUUAAGUCAGUCAUGCGACCAAGUCAGUUGAGCCUUCAAGGCAAUCACAUCAUAAAAAU